GAUGAACGCUGGCGGCGUGCCUAAUACAUGCAAGUCGAGCGAACAGAUGAGGAGCUUGCUCCUCUGACGUUAGCGGCGGACGGGUGAGUAACACGUGGAUAACCUACCUAUAAGACUGGGAUAACUUCGGGAAACCGGAGCUAAUACCGGAUAAUAUAUUGAACCGCAUGGUUCAAUAGUGAAAGACGGUUUUGCUGUCACUUAUAGAUGGAUCCGCGCCGCAUUAGCUAGUUGGUAAGGUAACGGCUUACCAAGGCAACGAUGCGUAGCCGACCUGAGAGGGUGAUCGGCCACACUGGAACUGAGACACGGUCCAGACUCCUACGGGAGGCAGCAGUAGGGAAUCUUCCGCAAAGGGCGAAAGCCUGACGGAGCAACGCCGCGUGAGUGAUGAAGGUCUUCGGAUCGUAAAGCUCUGUUAUUAGGGAAGAACAAAUGUGUAAGUAACUAUGCACGUCUUGACGGUACCUAAUCAGAAAGCCACGGCUAACUACGUG
rnacentral:rRNA from 1 species